rnacentral:lncRNA from 1 species
CGACCAUGUGUAGCCCAGAACAACUUUGACACCCACACCAAACCCUAUACUCAAGCCAAAUUGUGUUUAGUCUACAAUGCAGCACUGUUCUUCAAAUUAAUUUUUAGCUUUGAUUUACACAAAACAUGAAGCAACCUUUCUUGCAUCAAUUAAUUGUUUGACUUUCCUAAUAUAUUUCCAUUUUAACUAGAUUAUGCCUGUAUCAAAGGAAAAGGAAUGUGUGCAAGAUGUCAGUGUUCUGGAGGCACGCACCCAGCCAUCCUGAGAUCUGAUAUGUAAAGGUGCUUUAAAAUGUUUGUGGAAAAAUGGAUUGGAAGUGCUUAUGCCACUCUUUGGUCUUUGUGUACAAGAAAGAACUGACUAUGUCAAGAACUCAGGGAUGUCUGAGAUGUAAGCAUUCAAGUGAGUCUUUCCCAAGGCAAUUGUUAUUUUGGUAUUACUGGUGAUUUUCUAAGUUCCUGAUGGCUUCCACAUGUAUUAAUUGGAAUUCUUCUCUAAUAAGUAGUUCCUUGGAAGGGAGCAUUAGGCCUAGUUGUUAAGAGGCUCGCAUCCCAUAUUGCAGUUUGUGGGUUGGAUACCUGUGCAUAGCUC